CAUCAACGCGUACGGGUGUUGGGAGACAUAGCCCGGAGAUGGAUUCUGAGACACGAAUCCAGACCCUACGGGGUGCAGCAGGCGCGAAAACUUGGCAAUGCGAGAAAUCGUGACCAGGGAACUCCAAGUGGCUGGGGUAAGACCCAGUCUUUUCUUGACUCUUCAAAGGUCUUGGAAUAAGGGGUGGGUAAGGACGGUGCCAGCCGCCGCGGUAAUACCGGCGCCUCAAGUGGUAGUCGAUUUUAUUGGGCCUAAAACGUCCGUAGCCUGUUUGGUACAUUCGUGGGUAAAUCAACCAGCUCAACUGGUUGAAUUCUGCGAGCACGGCCAGACUUGGGACCGGGAGAGGUGUGGGGUACGCUCAGGGUAGGGGUAAAAUCCUGUCAUCCUGAGCGGACCACCUGUUGCGAAGGCGCCACACUAGAACGG
rnacentral:rRNA from 1 species